GGGGGCGUACUGGUUUCGACAGGGGUAGUUGUGGCAUGGGUAGCGAGCCGGGGUUCCAUCAGCCCGUCAAUACGGUGGAAAACAAGUAAACGCAAACGAAGAUUACGCUUUAGCAGCUUAGCUAACGUCCUGCCUGCGCAUUCCUGCGGCCUAGGAUAGGGCGUCACUUAGCAGGAUACCUGAGACCUUAUUCUCGGCGGGCCGACUGGGAAACUUUAUCGAGAUAGCAAAUGAGCAGCCUGUCUGUGGGCGGCGAGUGAGCGAAAUUUAAAACGCAGAAUGCGCUCGGAGAAGCCUGUGUAAUGAUACCUUUGGACAGGAGUUCGAUUCUCCUCGCCUCCACCA
rnacentral:tmRNA from 1 species